rnacentral:rRNA from 1 species
AUUGAACGCUGGCGGCGUGCCUAACACAUGCAAGUCGAGCGGUAACAGGUGUAGCAAUACAUGCUGACGAGCGGCGAACGGGUGAGUAAUGCUUUGGAAUCUUCCCAGUAGUGGGGAAUAACCAGUCGAAAGAUUGGCUAAUACCGCAUACGUCUGUAAAAGGGAAAGCGGGGGCUCGUAAGACCUCGCGCUAUUGGAUGAGCCAAAGUCGGAUUAGCUAGUUGGGGGGUAAUGGCCUACCAAGGCGACAAUCCGUAGCUGGUCUGAGAGGACGACCAGCCACACCGGAACUGAGACACGGUCCGGACUCCUACGGGAGGCAGCAGUGGGGAAUAUUGGACAAGUGGGGGAAACCCUGAUCCAGCGACGCCGCGUGUGUGAAGAAGGCC